ACUCUUCAGCACAUCAUCAACAUCAUGGCUUGACACACUGUGUUAGAUUUUAGAUUUGUAUCAGCUAACAGGUAGCUAACAGCUUUGAACAUUUCUCCUCAUCGUCUGUUAUAACACCCGACGGUGGAAACAUGACCUGCUGGAAUAUCCUCCAGUCUAAUGUCUCAGUGACUGUCGCCCUCCUGAUCACCUCUCAUAUCAGCCACUGCACCACUUGCUUUAGAGAGAUGUUUUUGUAGCAUCUAACUUCUGAACCUUUCCCUCUAUUUCUGUCAGUAGGGGCUGCUCUGACCACAUGUCACUGAUAGAUGCCCUUAACAUCUGUUCUGGGUAUGACCACUGACUGCCACCUUUGCUCUUUCUCUGCUAAUUUCUCACAAAACUGAAGUCAUUUUUGUCAGUGUCAAACAUGACUUCAGUCUUCAUAUUGGUCUUCCCUGUCCACAUUUCAGACAUUUAACUUUCAAAUUACUAAAUAAGAACUUACACACACUGACCUGAUGUGUUGAUAGAGCAAAUAAGAAAAAAAAAAAACUAAUAAACAAACAGAGUUGUAUAUUGUUUGGUUCUUAACUGUCAGGCCAGUAACAAGUAAAAACUUCACUGUCGUAAACAUUAAUCCAUUAUUCACCUGAACAUCAACAGCAACAUGCAGAGGGACACGCCCAGAGACUGGCUGGUUAAGCUAAUGGGCUAACAUGUUCCUCCAUACAGUCAGGUAAUUCGAACCACUAAUUCAGCUCAGCUCACAGUGUUAACUACCAGAGAGUCAAUCAGUUCAACAUCGGAUAGCUCAUCAGUGAGGCACUUUCAUCGGUCACCGUUUACCGGUAGCUUACCAGCUAAGCUAACUGUGUGUAUCCCAGCCUCCUCUAUUGAGUAAUGCAGUGCCAAACCCCCUUUAACAAUCCGCCGGUUAACCGGUGCUGUGUUUACCAGACAUUACACGGCUAAGCUGAGAAAUGAAACGGAUAGUUUUUAUUUUUUAUUUUCUUGUGGGGAAUUCGGCAUGGGCUGUUCAGUGGAGUGCAGCUAGGUGAUGGGGGAUCCUCGCCCUGAUGCAGGGCCACAGAAUAGAUUCAGCAUGGCCCUCACUGAAGUCAGUCUAAGAGUGGGAAUGACACUCUGCCUCACCUGCCUACGUGGGCCCCAGACCGGCCCCAGACCAGCCACCAUAUACCUACAACCUCCUGAUGGUGUGGACCCCAUCAACCAGGACCACCCUACAGGCAGAUCUGCAGGUCGUCUUCAUCCUGGGUGGGGCCGGACAUCCUGUGUAGGUGGCUGUGCAGUGUCCUCAGGCUUUCAGUCAGACCACCCGUCACUCCUCUCCAGCUCACCCCUCUCAUCCAUAUGUGGUUACUUCUGGUUUCAAAAAAACAAGAUAGCGAUGGCCAAAAUGUUGAACUUGAGGCUCCAAAAUGCUAGUCCUCAAACAAAUGGGUGACUGUAUAUAUGAAUUAUAGUGCAUUGAUUUUUUACAGGAAUAAGUAGAACCAGUGAAUAAGAACAGCCUGAAUGGUUAACAGUGGAACACUGUUUUAUAUGUGAUUCUACAUUUACCAGGCCAGUCAGCUGGGUACACCACUCUCUUUAAAUCUGCUUAACACCAGAAGAUAUUCACACAGGUAUAGAACAAAAGGAACGACCAGUUACCAUCAAAGCUGAUCUUGGAAAUAUUGUUUCCAACUACACACAAAUCUCAUAUUAGUUCUAAAGGUAGGAACAUUUUAUCCAAACCAUCUCACAGGCUGUCGUGACAACAUUCAUCCAGUAGAUGUCACUUUGUGACUGAAAUAAGAGGGCGCUGCCUUACAUCACCUUCCAUUAGGAAUACAGCAGCUUGUUACAUAUUAUUACAGAGCAGUAUGAACACCACACUGUUAACACACUAAACAUACUGUUAACUACUACAUCUUAAGUUGUUUCUCCUCCUGGUGUUGAUGUGACAACUGUGACUUCUGCAGUACUCUGUACUGUACACUGUUUUCAUCCUGUUGUAAAAAGCUGCAAACUUCUGACAUCAGAGACAAGUCAUGAGAGCACUCUUUCUAAAUGACAAACACAUCAAUCUCUGUCAGUGACUGAAGUUAUUUAUGCAUGGCAUGUGGGAAAAGUCAAACACAGGAUGGAGACUUGCUGCAUCUGUUGACCUAUGAAUGAUUGUGGUGGGGAUGUCAGACUGCAAAGAUACACAAGCUUAGAGAUACCAACCACAUACAUCUAUGUAAUAAAACCAUACCUGGACAUAAAGCAUACUGCAUGUGUAGCUUAUAUGAAACUAUGAAGAUUUUUCUUCCGUGUAAAAAUUCUGUGGAAUGUGUUGUGAAUACAUGUGUUUGAUGGGCUGAUUCUCAAAGCUGCAUAUUUGAUGCUCUACAUGUAAGAACUGAUGAUAUAGCUUGUCUGAUAAAAAGCUUAUUACUAAUAUGAAUCCACAUGAACUCAA